UCACGUUUCUGAAACCUCCUCUCCUCUUCGUUUUCCUUCAAUCUCUCUCAGCAAAACGUGGAUUGAAAUCUCUUCUCAUCUUCGUGUUCCUCUCAAUCGAAUCGAAGGCUUCAUCACUCUCAGAACCGCGAUCUCUUUCCAAAUGCAAGCUCACCCAGCCAUGGAUUGAAGGAAAUAGGGAUUUCAGAUUUGGAUCUUCAUCUGCAUUCUCAUAUCCGUCACAGCGACCUUGCUUCUUCUAUUGUCUCUGCCUUUCGAUGGGUUAUUAAGUAAAUAUGCAGCAGUUAAAGUGAAAUGUGUUGAUUGCAUUUGACAAAUUUUAACCAGAUACAAUCAUGUUUCCUUCUGUUUGGCAUUGCUGAGCGAUCUCUUCUCUCUUUCUUAUCUUGCAACAGAUACUGUAAGACUUCUAGCUUGGGCUGAGAAUCCAGUUGAUUUUGUGCAUACGCAUAGGAUGGUUCUGGAGAGUGAAUCAUGAUAUUUGUUUCAUUUUGACAGUGCAUACUACCACAAUUAAAAGCUGAUCAUGUACAUCAGAUCUUCAGUAUUCAGGCAGAGAAAAACCCUGGUCAAAGUCCAAAAGAAGAAGUCUGCCAAUCCCUGACCUCAAAGAGUAUAGAAGCAGCAUGACUACCAACCCCUCCAAGACCAAUGACCACAACAUAUGAUGCAGUUACUCUCUACUGAGACUCAAGCCAAGAAACUGAAUGUUCCUAUUCAUAGCAUAAAUAUUCCGCCAAAAAAAUGUUUGAUUAGCAGAAACCCAAGAAAAGAUAGAUACAUCAAUAAAAGAGUGACCCAUGUAUACCUAAAAGAAUUCAUUUCUUGAAUGAAAAUGCAGAACAAAUCUA